rnacentral:lncRNA from 1 species
GGCGCCGGUACGGCGAUUCACAUUUCAGCCGGUUCCGCCACCAUGUUCCGCCUUCUGCUGUUGUUCCUGGCGCUGGUGCUAUCGGCGGUGUUGACUGUCGAGGCUGCCGGCUACGGAUACAGACGCGGCGGCUACUACGGCCGCGGCUAUGGCGGCUACGGUGGCUACAGGCGUGGCGGCGGAUACUACAGACACGGAUAGCCGCGCCUCCACACCACCUGCUGCACCGACACCUCUCUAGAGAACGGCUGCGCCACCAGAAACGUAGUUACAGAUACAAUCUCCUAGCUGCACGUAUAUCAGUGUCCAUAAGUUACUUCCAAUUCAUUCCUUGUAUGUGACUGAACAAGAAAUGAUUUUCUAAGUGCAACCAAAGAUUACAGAUCAGCUUAUCUAUGCAUUACGUUUGGUCAAUACUCAUCCAUUAUGACAGUCAACUGUCGAAGAAAUAUAUAAAUGUUUUACAUCUACUAUGUAGCAGAUAUGUAGCUCCAAUGUAACAGUUCAUUUAUAAAAAUUAAAGAAAUACAAAAGAUUGUUUAAUUAAAA